rnacentral:lncRNA from 1 species
UGCCGCCGUUCAGGCCUGCCGCCAGUAAGCCCGCUGCGAGCGAGGAGAAGGUAACGGAUGCCACAAAGUUUAAUUUUGCUGAUGGGUGACGGUGGAUCCGAUCUGGGGAGGUUGAGUAACUUACGGUGAGGACAGUUUACAGCAGCCGCUUCACGCGGCAAGAGGGAAACAAAAAGCGAAAAGCGGGGAGGGGAAGGGGGAGAAAUUCUGAAGGAGCAAACAAAGGAUGCCGCCGCCGCCGCGGUGUUGGCCAAGUGGGUUACUGGUCCUGGUUGCUUUUCCCCCCAAUCCCCUCAAUGAGAUAGCUGUCCUUCCCUUUCUUCACCAUUGCACACAUACAUACAUGGUACAUACAUGGUACAGACGUGUACACAAACAAGUUCAGCACCGCGUCAACAGUUCCGUUCCCUCCCCCCCCCAGAGCUCCGAAUGGUGUAUCCGGCUGGUAGGUUAACGGGCUCCGACUUCCGACGGAUUCCGGCGCUUCCACUACCACAGGUAGUCAAACGAUAGGCGGGCUACUCAAGAAAUGCUGAGCGACGUCCUAUACAACGAUGCAAAUAGGGGAGCUCCCUCCUCGCGUCACGUCACGUUCCUAAUGCCGUUACAAAGUACCCCCCACGCCGCACCGCACCGCACCACACCACGCGAGACGGCGAGACGAGACGAGACGUGGCGUGGCGUGGCGUGGAGGUACUAUCAAGAGCCAAAACUAUUCGACAUAUUGCCUAAAGAAGCAAGGAGCCAGUAGCUAACAGUUUUGGAUACCGGCGCCUUUCCGUCACCCGCACCUGCAGCCGCGGCCGCCGCAGCCGCUCGGUCAUGCCGUACCAGGGGGUCGCUACCAUCGCCCACACCACCUGGAUGCACAGGGGCCGUGAGGUACGCCGCCG